UACAGAGGUCUCAAGCGUUGUUCGGAUUCAUUGGGCGUAAAGGGUGCGUAGGCGGCGCGGUAAGUCGGGUGUGAAAUCUUGGAGCUUAACUCCGAAACCGCAUUCGAUACUGCCGUGCUUGAGGACUGGAGAGGAGACUGGAAUUUACGGUGUAGCGGUGAAAUGCGUAGAUAUCGUAAGGAAGACCAGUGGCGAAGGCGGGUCUCUGGACAGUUCCUGACGCUGAGGCACGAAGGCCAGGGGAGCAAACGGG
rnacentral:rRNA from 1 species